rnacentral:rRNA from 1 species
UACAGAGGUGGCAAGCGUUGUUUGGAAUUACUGGGCGUAAAGGGCGCGUAGGCGGCCUACUAAGUCAGACGUGAAAUCCCCCGGCUUAACCUGGGAACUGCAUCCGAUACUGGAUGGCUUGAAUCCGGGAGAGGGAUGCAGAAUUCCAGGUGUAGCGGUGAAAUGCGUAGAUAUCUGGAGGAACACCGGUGGCGAAGGCGGCAUCCUGGACCAACACUGACGCUGAGUGAGCGAAAGCCAGGGGAGCAAACGGG